AGCUGAUGGCCUAUUAGCAACAGGCAGGAAGUAGAAGGUGGGAGUUCCAAUAGACAGAUUGGAACUCUGGGAAAUAGGCAGAAGCCGGAAGUUUGUCCUCGCCUCUGAGGAAGUCCGGGGCAUGAAACUGAGGAGAGGUAACUAGCCAUGCAGAAGGUCCCUCCUGCUGACUCAAGCUGAGGCUAGGUUAUGUCGCCCCUGUUGCUAACCCAUCUCUUCUGAACUGGACUGCUGGUGUAUCCUUGAAGUGUUUGUGAAUGGAUCAAGCUGCUGCUGCCUGCUAACCAAUGACCUGAACUGCCAAUUUCCAGACAACACAUUCGAGAGUUGCUCCAAGAACCUUUCUAAACAGGGUUCAGCUGAGAGGUCGGGUUAAAGAAAGUGUGGAAUUGGAGACAGCGGGGUAGAAGAACCAAUGAGUACGGCGAAGAGAGAACCAACGGAGAAAGAUUUCAGUGAGCGCGGGAAGAGAAGCAACAGUGUCCGAUCCCGGUUCCCAAUAAGACACUGCAAAGGAAUGCACUGAGUGUAUAAGGCUCCUUUGAGGUUCAAAAAAUAGAGAAAGAAAAAGCGUUGCCUUUGCAGCCUACCCAGGUGUUCUCUAAACACUGUAAUUUCUUCUUUGUGGGUCGGUGGCCCAGCUGCAUCUUUCCCACGCACCUCGUGACCAUCUCCAGCACUGACCUCCAGCCACUAGGCUCACAAAGAGUUGUUUCAAAAGCACCUUUUUGUGGCAGGAUUCUGGGAUCGGAUCUAAGAAGCCAGUUAACUAAAGGCAGCCAUGUGAUUACGAGGAGCAGUGCAUAGCCUUCCCCUCUGCGAAUCAGACAGAGAGAGCCUCACCACCCUCUGAGCUUACAGAAACAUCUUGAUAUUAUCCAAAAAGGCAUUGGUUCUGUGUUGCUGUUCCAGGUCUCUACAGCUGAGAUAAGGAUGAAGGACCAUCUUGGCACUAACUGAAGUCUGGAAGAUCGAAGAGUAUGCUACUGACAUCCUACCCUGUGAAAAAAAGUCCACACUGACAAAGGACGGAGUGUCAAUGCUAAUUCCCUAGAAGACUUGAUUAGAUAAACGGAUUCACGGAUACUUCUGGGCACUCAGCAAAUCAUUAGUGGGAUCCGGGGCUUUUAUACCACUUAUAAUACAACCAGAAGCUUGGAUAACAAUGUGUACCUGCCCAUGUGACUCAAAUACCAUUUCUCUCCACAGAAAAGGCCAUGAGAAGUGACUUGGUGGAGAAAGUGUUUAAUUUUCAAAGCUUCAGAAUUUUAACAUGUUAUAUGCUUUCAAGACGCACAACAGUAGAAAACAUAUCUGAAGUUGGCUGUACAAAUUGCCCUAGAUUUUUGAAGCUUUCUGCUUCCCUUUCUCAGAGGGGGUACAUAGCACUAAGGCAUGCAAGAAUACUGACACAGUAGAUCCAUCUGCUACCAGAGAAGAAGGGCAAGGGUGCACAGAAAAACACCCCAACUCUCUCCCUGCCUGGGGGACAGUUCUGAGAUGUGCCCUUAAAGGUUUUCAGAGAUAAGAUCGGAGUUACCCACAGUGUUAUCCUGCUCAUUAAUAAAUCUUACGCU
rnacentral:lncRNA from 1 species